AAGACUUUAAGUUAAAAAAACUGUAUACCUUCAAAGUAUAAAAUAUUUAAAUAUAAGUCUUA
rnacentral:tRNA from 1 species